rnacentral:rRNA from 1 species
CCCUUGUCCCUAGUUGCUACGCAAGAGCACUCUAGGGAGACUGCCGGUGACAAACCGGAGGAAGGUGGGGAUGACGUCAAGUCCUCAUGGCCCUUAUGGGUAGGGCUUCACACGUCAUACAAUGGUCGGAACAGAGGGUUGCCAAGCCGCGAGGUGGAGCCAAUCCCAGAAAACCGAUCGUAGUCCGGAUCGCAGUCUGCAACUCGACUGCGUGAAGCUGGAAUCGCUAGUAAUCGCGGAUCAGCAUGCCGCGGUGAAUACGUUCCCGGGUCUU